AUUGAACGCUGGCGGCAGGCCUAACACAUGCAAGUCGAGCGGCAGCGGGAAAGUAGCUUGCUACUUUUGCCGGCGAGCGGCGGACGGGUGAGUAAUGCCUGGGGAUCUGCCCAGUCGAGGGGGAUAACUACUGGAAACGGUAGCUAAUACCGCAUACGCCCUACGGGGGAAAGCAGGGGACCUUCGGGCCUUGCGCGAUUGGAUGAACCCAGGUGGGAUUAGCUAGUUGGUGAGGUAACGGCACACCAAGGCGACGAUCCCUAGCUGGUCGGAGAGGAUGAACAGCCACACUGGAACUGAGACACGGUCCAGACUCCUACGGGAGGCAGCAGUGGGGAAUAUUGCACAAUGGGGGAAACCCUGAUGCAGCCAUGCCGCGUGUGUGAAGAAGGCCUUCGGGUUGUAAAGCACUUUCAGCGAGGAGGAAAGGUUGGUAGCUAAUAACUGCCAGCUGUGACGUUACUCGCAGAAGAAGCACCGGCUAACUCCGUGCCAGCCGCCGCCGUAAUAC
rnacentral:rRNA from 1 species